GGGGUUGUGGCUCAGUGGUAGAGCACUCGACUAGCGCAUGUGAGGUCCUGGGUUCGAUCCUCAGCACCA
rnacentral:tRNA from 1 species